GGCUCCGUCCUGCAUGGCAGGGUUUCAAAGUCCAGGCAGGCCCCAGCUGGGCCGCCUGCCUCCCACAGAAGAGGAAAGAAAUCCAGGCCCCAAGGUUCCCUCCUCACUCUGGGAACCUUCUCUCUGCCACAGGAUGAGGGCUCUGCCUGCUCCUAGCCUCCCCUAACAGAGCCCACUAUGCGUUGGCUCACAGGUACCUGUGCUCUGACUUGCUUCGAAGGGUUAGAAUCUUGUCAGCAGGGAGUUUGUCUCAUUCAUCCUUAAUAGCAAUAACUGCCAUUUGCUGAGCAAUUCUACCUGUCUUCUGUGCUCCUUGUCCUGGGAGGCAAGUGUGAAGAGUACACGUCUUUGCUCACUCCCCUUGCCAUAGAGAGAAGAAACAUGACUAGUGGAGCUCAAUGCGGCAGUGAACAGCAGAGAACCUGUCAUUUCUGAGCUGAAGCAUUUCAAUGUUUGUAUAGAACCCUCCACCAUUCUUGCCUGCCACAUGGACUGAGGAGGCUGUGUGUUCCAGAUGGCAAAACCACGGAGUGGUGGUAUCUCUGUCUGCGUGGAUCACUGAGCCAGGCCAUGAAGUGAAGCUGCCUUAGAAGUUACCCAGGCCUGCAGCAGGAGCUGAAAUUCAACAUAUUGCCCUAAGAAGCAUCCAAAGCAAUUGUGUAUCUGCAGAUGUUUAUUGUGUCGACUGGGAGAUGGGGUGAGAGUGGAGGCUUUUCUUCCUGUUGAAAGAAGAAAGAAGGUUGUUGGCAUCUGGACUCAUGGUAAGAGGGGUGGUUGACGCCAUGGCUUGGGAGGAGGCAGCCUGCCCUGCAGCAUGGUAGGCAGCAGACCAACCAGGAGUGGUCCCUGGUGAAGGGCCUCUGCCAUUGAGAUCCUGGAAUUUUCAUGUCUGAUGGCCAGUGUCCAGUGAUCUUUUCUGCAUGGAUGUUCUGCCAAUCCAGGCCUUCAGUAUAACUUUGUCAAACUCCACAGCCUCUACUUAGGUCCAGACUCAAACUCCCACUGCCUAGGAGGCAGUGAUUGGGCGGCAAGACAGAAUGAGAGAUGCAGUGAGAACAUCUGGCUGAAGUGACAAGCAGCCAUGCUGCCUGCUGGUGUGCAGUUCUGAUGACAACCAAGGCAACUUCAUACAUGACUGCACAAAGUUAAUUUAACACGUUUGACUCUGCCAUUUCAUCCUAGUACCAUAGAUAAGAUUUGUUGAGUAAUUACUAUGUACCAGGCCCUAUUCUAAACUCUUUGUGAAUAUUAAUUAAUUUAAUCCUUGAAGCCAUCUCACUAUUGUGCCCAUUUUACAGAUUAGGAAACUAAGGCCCAAAGAGGUUACACUAAUUACCUAAGGUCAAAUUAAUAACAGAGUCUGGCUCCAGAGUCCACACUUUUAACCAGAGUGCAACGGAAUCUGAAUGUUACCCUUAUAACCGAAGAGUUCACAAUAGUGAUGUGAGUUUUACUCCUAGAAAAAAAAAACACGCACACAGUCCCCCAUCCCUCUGUACCCCAGAUAAAUCCAAAAUCUGCUGCCAGCUUACAGUGAGGUUGAAACUGCUUCUGGACCAAGUGUGGUGGCUCAUGCUUGUAAUCCCAGCACUUUGGGAGGCUGAGGUGGGAGGAUUGCUUGAGU